CUCUUCAGGCUCCUUGGAGGCAAGGCGGGAGCUGCGGCGAGCCUUGAAAGAGUCCUAACAUUCACUUCCUGCCGAGCAUCGUACUGCUGACAUUGUCACAACUGUCAAUUACACGCAUUUUACAUUCAGUUUUUACCAAGAAUCAUGUUGCUGCAUAUCCGACGAGAUUGAUCGGCCGAUGGAUGCGAGGCUGAUGGGUGCCAUUGCUUGGUUGUGUGCAGGUGGUGCGCACCAAGGUGUUCGAGAUGGCGCCGCUGACGGUGGACGAGGCGCUGGAGCAGCUCGAGAACGUCGACCACGAUUUCUACGCCUUUAGGAAUGAGCAGACAGGGGAGGUGAACAUCCUGUACAAGAGGAAGGAGGGAGGCUUCGGGCUCAUCAUCCCCAAGCAGGACGGCCACGUUGACAAGGAGACCGUCGCCAAGGCGAACGGCAAGGAGCAAUCCAUCGCCGGCUGACUUGACCGUUUCGCCUCGCUAAGUCACUAGCUGUAGCUUUGUAGUUCGUCUGUUUUCCUCUCUGAUGGAUGGAUGGAUGUCUGUCGGCUGCUGAUGUUUCCAUCAGACAAAAUGUCCAAGUGAAACCGAGACCUUGUGCUGUGCAAGUUUAACAUUUCUGUUAUGAUCCCCCACCACUUUCUAA